GACGAACGCUGGCGGCGUGCUUAACACAUGCAAGUCGAACGGAAAGGCCCUGCUUUUGUGGGGUGCUCGAGUGGCGAAAGGGUGAGUAACACGUGAGUAACCUGCCCUUGACUUUGGGAUAACUUCAGGAAACUGGGGCUAAUACCGGAUAGGAGCUCCUGCUGCAUGGUGGGGGUUGGAAAGUUUCGGCGGUUGGGGAUGGACUCGCGGCUUAUCAGCUUGUUGGUGGGGUAGUGGCUUACCAAGGCUUUGACGGGUAGCCGGCCUGAGGGGGUGACCGGCCACAUUGGGACUGAGAUACGGCCCAGCCUCCUACGGGAGGCAGCAGUGGGGAAUAUUGCACAAUGGGCGGAAGCCUGAUGCAGCAACGCCGCGUGCGGGAUGACGGCCUUCGGGUUGUAAACCGCUUUCGCCUGUGACGAAGCGUGAGUGACGGUAAUGGGUAAAGAAGCACCGGCUAACUACGUG
rnacentral:rRNA from 1 species